rnacentral:lncRNA from 1 species
UCGAGGCAUUUACCGAAGGUGCUACUCAGUAAUAUGAUCCAAAGAGUAGCUAACAUAGUUUUCUAAAAGGAAGUAAAUGGGAGAAUAGAUUGGUACUUGCAAAAGUGUUUAAAUAAAAAUGAUUAAGUUAUUAAGCAGUUUGUAGAUAGUCACUUAAGAUACAUAAAUGUAUUAUAUACGUAUUAAUAUAUUCUUUCAUAAUUUAGUUCUUAUAUUGGAUCUGUAGGUUCUGUGUUUAAAUUUAUGAAAUCCAAACCGUCUGGCAACGCCGCACUUUAAGCCAGUCUUACAGGUUCGUUGAACAAUGGGCAAAAAAUAAAGAGCGAAAAAAAAGAGAAAAAGGUCUGUUCCAGUACAAGAGCAGGUCUAAGACUUAGACUCUAUAUGUGGAACGGAAUGGUUCUCGGUCUAUUGUGCUCGAGGUAUAAUGACAACAAAAGGAGCUCAGCUUGAUAACAAUGGAGCUGUAUAUUAAUUAAUUCACGACAUGGUGUUAGAAAAAAUUACCAACAAACGUUAAUCUUUAAAGCCAGGAAGCUACUUUCAAUUAAUAACUAAAAUAUAACACUUAAACAGUUAAUUAUGAAGUUUGGAUCAUUUAAAUUAAUGUACAUUUACACACUAUCUGGCAAAUUUGACUUGUUGUGAAUUUCAUACGUACGUACACUU